GGUCUGUCUGCGCGGUCUCCUAUUGGUUGCACUGCAAGGGCGGAUCUUUCCUUCUGGCUAGCCAUUUUGCUCUUAACCGGGUGAGAUGGGGAACCAGGACUUUUACUUUGAAAAAAUUAGAGUGUUUAAAGCAGGCUUACGCUUGAAUACAUUAGCAUGGAAUAAUAGAAUAGGACUUUG
rnacentral:rRNA from 1 species